rnacentral:rRNA from 1 species
CAAUGGACGGUACAAAGAGCUGCAAGACCGCGAGGUGGAGCUAAUCUCAUAAAACCGUUCUCAGUUCGGAUUGUAGGCUGCAACUCGCCUACAUGAAGCUGGAAUCGCUAGUAAUCGCGGAUCAGCAUGCCGCGGUGAAUACGUUCCCGGGCCUUGUACACACCGCCCGUCACACCACGAGAGUUUGUAACACCCGAAGUCGGUGGGGUAACCUUUAUGGAGCCA